rnacentral:rRNA from 1 species
UACGUAGGGCGCAAGCGUUGUCCGGAAUUAUUGGGCGUAAAGAGCUCGUAGGCGGUCUGUCGCGUCCGUUGUGAAAACUCGAGGCUCAACCUCGGGCUUGCAGUGGAUACGGGCAGACUAGAGUGCGGUAGGGGAGACUGGAAUUCCUGGUGUAGCGGUGAAAUGCGCAGAUAUCAGGAGGAACACCGGUGGCGAAGGCGGGUCUCUGGGCCGUAACUGACGCUGAGGAGCGAAAGCAUGGGGAGCGAACAGG